rnacentral:rRNA from 1 species
UACGUAGGGUCCGAGCGUUGUCCGGAAUUAUUGGGCGUAAAGGGCUCGUAGGCGGUUUGUCGCGUCGGGAGUGAAAACACGGGGCUUAACCCCGUGCCUGCUUCCGAUACGGGCAGACUAGAGGUAUGCAGGGGAGAACGGAAUUCCUGGUGUAGCGGUGAAAUGCGCAGAUAUCAGGAGGAACACCGGUGGCGAAGGCGGUUCUCUGGGCCGAACCUGACGCUGAGGCGCGAAGGCUAGGGGAGCGAACGGG